rnacentral:ncRNA from 1 species
UAAAUGACAAUGAAUGGACGAAGUAAUUCUUUAUCCCUGUUUAAAAGAGAACCAGUGGGUGGUGGAAACUGGUACAAAUAAAGAAUGAAUUACAUCCUGGAGUCACGCUGCGCUGGAUAAUAGUGCGGCCGGUUAAAACCGUUAACGAAUGAAGAACAAAAGUUGGGUGGUACCACGUUAAUACGUCCCUUCG